rnacentral:rRNA from 1 species
AUUGAACGCUGGCGGCAUGCUUUACACAUGCAAGUCGGACGAGUGGCGAACGGGUGAGUAACGCAUCGGAACGUACCGAGCAAUGGGGGAUAACUGUCCGAACGGACAGCUAAUACCGCAUAUUAUUCGUUCGGCCGAGGUCUGAUUAGCUGGUUGGCGGGGUAAAGGCCCACAAAGGCGACGAUCAGUAGCGGGUCUGAGAGGAUGAUCCGCCACACUGGGACUGAGACACGGCCCAGACUCCUACGGGAGGCAGCAGUGGGGAAUUUUGGACAAUGGGGGCAACCCUGACGCAGCCAUGCCGCGUGAAUGAAGAAGGCCUUCGGGUUGUAAAGUUCUGUCGGUAGCGAGGCGUUAACUACAGAGGAAGCACCGGCUAACUCCGUGCCAGCCGCCGCGGUAAUAC